rnacentral:misc_RNA from 1 species
GAUGAAGAACGUAGCGAAAUGCGAUAAGUAAUGUGAAUUGCAGAAUUCAGUGAAUCAUCGAAUCUUUGAACGCACCUUGCGCCCUUUGGCUAUUCUGAAGGGCAUGCCUGUUUGAGUAUCAUGAACACCUCAACUCUCAUGGUUCGCCAUGAUGAGCUUGGACUUUGGGGGUCUUGCUGGCCUACGGUCGGCUCCUCUCAAAUGAAUCAGCUUGCCAGUGUUUGGUAGAGUCGCAGGUGUGAUAACUAUCUACGCUUGUGGUUUUCUGCCAGAUAACCUUCAGUGAUGGAGGUUCGCUGGAGCUUAUAAAUGUCUCUCCCCAGUGAGGACAGCUUUUUGAACGUUUGAUCUCAAAUCAGGUAGGACUACCCGCUGAACUUAAGCAUAUCAAUAAGCGGAGGA